UCAGACGAUUCCCUUCCACAGCCAUGGUUUCCACUCUCUCCAAAUCUCUGUUACUCUGAAUAAUUGACUUUGCUGUUUACACUUUCAUUUACGAUGUAUCUUUUCACCUCCUUUUUGUUUUCCUCAUAUAUUAUAUCUUUAUCGAUUCUUCAUAUACCCUAAUCUACAACCUCUUCGGACGAAGAUCAAACUAUGGCCAUGAGAUCUGCUUAAUUGUACCGGAAAGUAUCAUGUUGCUGUAUAUUUCACUGACAUCUCCUCGGUCCAGCCGAGUCAGAACUAAGCUUUGAGCUUCUCCUUAUCGGCGAACAGUGCAGCAAUGGCCCACAACUCGAAAUCUACUGCGUCAAUAGCACAACGAGUUUACAUCGAUAACAUCUUCCCCUCUUUGCGAGUAUAGCUGUAAACUGGAACAUGUGAUCAAGUCAACCUUUCCAGGCAUCCAUAUGAUUAUUAACAGAAAAUGUGAGAGCUGGAAUAUAAACUUAGUCGUCAUGGAAAGCCUCUAGCAUCUGAAACUGGGGUAAAAUUGUGUAUUUUUCUAUCUUUAAUUUCUAUUCUUAGAUAUUAAGAUUUGAUUACUGUUAAAAAAGGGUUUGAUUACUGUUAUGGUGCAGGGAAAGUUAUUACUUUUCGAUCAAAUAUUCAAGAAGCGUGUUGAUGGAGUGUUCAUGCGACCUUGAUGGAUCUGGUUCACAAGUCUGUGAAUGAGAGAGGUGG